GCAUCAGAAUUCAUCGAUAUGUAACCCUGAUCGAAAAGUCCCAACCAGUGAGACUCUUGACCCCGGUACCCAUAAUGUGUGAAACUCGUGAUCAGAGAAUCCUGAUUCUCGAUCACUGAGUCCCAAACAUGUAGGAUUCUACAUCAGCCAUCAGAUCAGAUAGGAACCUCUAAUGUGUGUGACCCCGCAGGUUCGAACCUAAGCCGGUAGCACAGGAACCAAUUUCUGUACUAAUCGAAGUGACCAUCUAGCAAUGAUACCCGAUGUUCGGAUAGGUUGAAGAGUUACAAUCGCAAUACUCAGAACCU
rnacentral:lncRNA from 1 species